UUUUGCUGAGAGGCACACACCCAUGCGCAUGUCUUAAUACUCUCUGAUUUUCCACAGACGGUCUUCAUCGAUCCUGACGUCGUGUUGCCUGCGCUGGAAAAAACCUGUGCACAGUAAAGGAGAAAAACCGGGACCAUUCGAUCUCCGGUCAGCGUCUUAUACAGGCCCCACGGCGCCAGGACCAGAUGAACCGGAUCCAAAACGCAGCACCACAGUAAGUCUCUUGCAGGUUGAACCCCGGUGAUUGGAUUCUGAUUAAAGUCCUCCAGCGGAAAAACUGGAGUGCUCCGAGGUGGGAGGGGCCCUUCCAGGUGUUGCUUAC
ensembl:lncRNA